CUCUUCUUAAAAAUUAUGACACUCCUUCAUAAAAAUUAUGACAUCUUAUUUCAGUUUAGUCUUUUAUGCAGGAGUGUCAUAAUUUUUAUGAAGGAGUGUUAUAAUUUUUAAGAAGAAUAUUUUCAUCAUAUAAAAUUUUUAAACGAAAAAACCAACCUACUGGUAUUAAAUGUGCGUUGGAAAGCAGUGGCUAUUUGGAUCAAUUGGAUAAAAUGAUGUAUUUCAUGUCGAGUUUUCUACACCACCUGCGGUGUAUAAAGAAUUUCUCAAGCCUGAAAAUAUGUGCAUGGCUUAGGUGGGGGG
rnacentral:lncRNA from 1 species